GAAAAAAGGCCUCUCACACAAUAAGGACCUUCAAGAAGCAAAUUUUGCCAUGAAGUCAAUGCAAUUGGAGCACAUAAUCUGCAAUUGGUUAUUUCCUGUGGAAGUUGUGGUUCUUUCUUUUGGUUUGAGAGCAAGUUCAUCCAUGGAGGUAAUAAUUCUAAACUUAGAGGUAUAUUGGUGUAUUGGAUCUGCAGUGAUGUUACUAUACCCAAUAUUGCAUUUAUGAAGUCAAUUUUCGUUUCAUUCUUUAUGAUCCCUAAACUUUUCAAUAGUAUGAUUCAGAUUUUCAUUUUGAUUUCUGUAUAAGACUGUAUGUUUUGUGGGUGGAAGUUGUGCCUGUGCAAUAAGAGAAGUAAUGGAUUUCAGGGAGAUGUAUAUAGACUGAAAAUCUUUGGAUUACAUUAGCUUUUGAUACUUAUUGGCAUAUCUCUGGUUCAAAUGACACAGUAGGUUUCUAGAAAACAAGGAUUUUCUGGGCACAUCAAACAAGAACCGAUAAUUUGUCUGCUGAAAAGCCCCUAGGAUGCUUGUUCCUUGAUCACUAGUAUUGAAUAUAGCCAUGCAGUAAUUAGAACCAAUACUUUCGAGGACAGCCUUCGAAUCCACCACAAGGUUUGCCCAUCCUUCAAAGUGGAAUGUCAUUGAUGGCAAACUCAAGGUUGCCCCUCCUAAUGGUCCAUAGCAAGAUCAAACAUACCUAUUGGCCUUGUUGGAUGCUUUCCAAAAUUAUCCAACAUACAUCCCACCAUUGCUGAUCUCAAUGUAUUAUAUGUUCCUUGAACAAGCAUAGAGUAUGGACUACCUUUCUCUCAAAAAAAGAAAAAAGAAAAAAAAAGAGUAUGGACUACCUGUGUCUAUCAUAAUUCUGCCACCUAUUCCAGUUCUGGAUAGUGCUGGAUCUAUAUAGAAGCGCUUUUGUAAAUGCUGAUCCCUGAAAGAUGGACAAAGUAUCCCUACACAUUUCUUGCUGGCAAAAUCUCUGUUUUCUGUAGGUGUCCACUUAUUUUUGCAUCCUUACCGAAGCUUAAUGUUGUACGACUUAACCUUGGUGUUGGUUAUGGCAAGCAGUAAGAGAAGUGCCGAUUGGUCUCCUUACCUAGUUGUAUUAGGAUUGGCCGCUGCCUAACCCAAAUACGCCAGCUAUGGGAUUCUUAGGUCCAUCAUUUUUACCAAAACUGAUCUUCUGUUUAUCAAUGCCACAUCCAAAUGCUACUCGGAAGUUCAUAGAGGUAUGGUCAGUGCUUGGGUAAGUGAAGAUGUCAGUUGAUACCCACCCCUCAGUUAUGCUUCCACCUCCAUAGUCGAUCUUGUAUUGACAGAUCCCUCCACUAUUACAUAAUUUGGGAACACAAAGGGGGUUCGUACAAGGUAAGGAACGAUGUGAUGUAGACUCAUUAUAUUUGACAUUUCCUGCCAGUACUGGGAAGCAAUUGCGGCAUCCUUCACCCUGAAACCAUGUAUCAGCAGCGCUCGUAUCCACCAUUAAGUAGGGUGUAUAGAGUUGUGCACCAAUGCCUAUUCGCGUUACAUACUAAUUACUUAGAGCUGGAGAGAUAGGGGGUUGGUUGUAUAGUAGUAGGCAUAUCCUUCAUGAACUUAUGUGAUGUGUUCAUUGAUCUGGCUGAACUCAAGGCCAUGAGGUUAAGAACUCGAUUUCUUGAAAUUUCAGCCAGUAGUUUAUGCCUUGCUUCAGGUGUAUGAUUCUUUGGGAGGAUAAAUGAAUCAAUUGGGAUGAGCGGGAUGUUGAAACCAUUGGUUUUGAUGGGCAACGUUGAAGAGAGCAUGGAGUAGAGCAGGGUCAACAUAAUCCCGCACAUGAUUUACAUAACCUUCUGCAGUUAAUCUCUUUGUUUUGUGCAGUAGCAGUAUUUAUAAACUUAGAUGUCUUUGUAUUUGAUAUGCAAUAAAUUUUCUUUACUAAAGUGAGAUUUUCUUAGCUUGCAUUAAAUAACUACAUUAAUUUUUGUAUCAGAUUUCUGGGUUCUGGUAGGAUUAUUCUGCUGUAUACUUGAUGAAAAUGAUAUUCUCAAUGACAAUAUCAUUACAUUUUAAACCUUGGAUUACAUAUAUUUUUCAAACCUAUUGGCAUAUCUCUGGUGCAAAUGAUAAAGUAGGUUUAUUUAAAAACCAGGAUUUUUUGCCUAGUUCAAACAAGAACCGAUGAUUUGUCUGCUGAAAUGCACCUAGUUCGUUUAUUCCUGCAUCGCUAACGGGCAGUAUAGCCAUGCAGAUAGUUGAAUUGAAGUCCUCAAAAACAGCUUUUGAAUCCAGCACAAGGUUUGCUCCUUUGAAGUGGUAUGUCAUUGAUGGCAAAGUCACAUUUCGUAAUGGUUCAUAACAAACAUCAAAGACACCUUUUCUUGUUGGGCGUUUUCCACAUUGAUUCAUCAUAUACUGCACCACUUCUUCUCUUAAUAGUGUAUAUGCACCUCGAACAAGAUGAGUGUAAGGAGUACCUGUGUUAAUGAUAAACCCACCACCAGUAGUGCCCUUCUUCACCUUGAAUAGUGCCGGAUCUAUAUUAAGGCGCUUUCCUGCUAUGCUAAUGCCUAAAAGAUUCACAUUGUAUAUAGACCUAUUUUGUACAAGCAAUAUAUCUGUUGUUUGUACACUUCCACUUAUUUUUGCAUCCUUGCCAAAACUUAGCAGUGGAUGAGUUUUACUUGGUGUUGUUGAUGAUGGUAAGCAGUAAGAGAAGCGCAGGUUGGUCUCCUUAACUAGUUGUUUUAGGAUUGACUGCUGCCCCCAACCUAACCCAAAUAUUCCAGCUAUCAGAUUGUUAUCACCAAGACUCCAAUUCUGGUUGUCAUACGCACAACCAAAGGCUACCCUCCACUUGAUAGAGGUUUGGUUGGUGCUUGGGGAAGUGAAGGUAUCAUUUGAUUCCCAACCUUCAGAUUUUUUGCCAGCGCCAUAUGCAAUAUUGUAUUUACACAACCCUCCAUGAUCACAUAACCUUGGAACACAAAGGGGGUCCCUACAUUGCAAGUAUUGGAAUGAUGUAGAUUGUUUAUAUUUGAAGUUUCCUCCCACUACAGGGAAACAAUUGAUGCACCCAUCACAUUGAACCCAUGUAUCAGCAAAGGCUGUAGUCACUGCUAAGUAUGGUGUAUAUAGCUGUGACCCAAUGGCUAUUCGCGUUACAUAGUAACUGAUUAGAAGUUGUUCAUUUGGUAUCUGUAUAAUACUUGGUAGAUCAUUCAUGAACUCCUCUGCUGGAUUGUUUUUCCUGCCAGAACUCAAAGACAUUAGGUUAGGAACCUGAUUUCUUGAUAUUUCAGCCAGUAGGUGAUGCCUUUCUUCUGGAGUGUGAUUCUUUGGGAGGAUAACUGAAUCGAUUGGGAUGAGCGGGAUGCUAAAACCACUAGUGGGCAAGGUUAAAGUGAGCAUAAACAAGAGCAGGGCCAAUAUUAUACUCCACAUGAUUUUCAUAUUGCUGGAGAUAGUCAUUCUCUUUCUUUUGAUGUGAGUAAUUCAUUUGUAGAGGCAGUAUUUAUAAAUAUACAUGUUUGAUGUAUUAGAUAUGCAGUAAAUUUACAUUAAUGAAAAGGAGAUUCUGAUAGAUUGCAAUUUAUAACUCACUGAGGUUUAUCCCUCAUAUGUAGAUUGUGCUGCUCUAUACUUUUUCUUUAUUUUUUCUUUGAAGUUUCUUUAGUUAUGACACAGAUUAAAUCACAAAACAAGUGCUUAUAUACGUGGAUUUAGGUAUCUGACUUAUUUCUACUGUCUCAAACAAGUAACUACCUACUAACAAUGUCUACCUGUUUCCUCUUGUGGAAGGGAGUCUUAGAGGAGUACAGGCUAAGAAACAGAAAAGCAGAAAGCCCGAAAUCAUGGCAGGAGAUCAACUGAAUUUCUCAAGGGUUUUAAUUACCUCUCGUCCAGGGUUAAACUAUUGGGAAGAGACUGCAUCAAUUUGGUUAUAACUCCUACA
rnacentral:lncRNA from 1 species